rnacentral:rRNA from 1 species
UGGGGUUGGAAAGUUUCGGCGGUUGGGGAUGGACUCGCGGCUUAUCAGCUUGUUGGUGGGGUAGUGGCUUACCAAGGCUUUGACGGGUAGCCGGCCUGAGAGGGUGACCGGCCACAUUGGGACUGAGAUACGGCCCAGACUCCUACGGGAGGCAGCAGUGGGGAAUAUUGCACAAUGGGCGGAAGCCUGAUGCAGCAACGCCGCGUGCGGGAUGACGGCCUUCGGGUUGUAAACCGCUUUCGCCUGUGACGAAGCGUGAGUGACGGUAAUGGGUAAAGAAGCACCGGCUAACUACGUG